GAUGAACGCUGGCGGCGUGCCUCAAACAUGCAAGUCGAGCGAGGCUAUGAAUUACCGCAAGGUAAGGCAUAGCCUAGCGGCGAACGGGUGAGUAACACGUGGGUAACCUACCUGGAAGACAGGGAUAACGAUUCGAAAGGGUCGCUAAUACCUGAUAAUAUCCAUCUGCCGGAUGGCGGAGGGAAGAAAGGGGAAACCCGCUUUCAGAUGGGCCCGCGUCCCAUCAGCUAGUUGGUAAGGUAAAGGCUUACCAAGGCGACGACGGGUAGCCGGUCUGAGAGGAUGUACGGCCACACUGGGACUGAGAUACGGCCCAGACUCCUACGGGAGGCAGCAGUUGGGAAUCUUAGGCAAUGGACGAAAGUCUGACCUAGCGACGCCGCGUGAGGGAAGAAGGCCUUCGGUUGUAAACCUCUGUCAUGGGGAGAAGGAAGGACGGUACCCAAGAGGAAGCCCCUGCUAACUACGUGCCAGCAGCCGCGGUAAACCAUACUCGUA
rnacentral:rRNA from 1 species